UCUUCUUCAUAGAGCCGUGAUUUUUCCCGGUCUCUUGUGUGUUGGCAGAAGCUGGUCCCAAGAAGAUAUUGGACCUCAUGAAUGUUCCAUGGCUCACUAGGGAAAAUGUCGCAAGCCACCUUCAGGUAAAACUUUACCUGCUCAUUAAGACAAAAGGGGAAGUAAAGUAUAGAUUAAGCUUUUUGUUACUUUUUUUCUUUUGUAGAAAUACAGACUUUACCUGAGCAGAUUAGAGAAAGGAAAGGAGCUAAAGUGUUAUUCUGGUGGAGCAAAGAAUAUAGAUUCACCUCCAAAAGAUGCCGAUUUGAAUUCAGGACACCAAAGUCCAGGCAAGAGCAGCUAUGCAUUCUCUGUGGGAAGUUCUCUACUCCAUAAAGCAACAGAGACUGAUCCAAAGCC
rnacentral:lncRNA from 1 species